AGAGUCGGCCAGACAAUCGCCGCAGCGCGAUGCGCUGCGGAGGAAAGUCCGGGCUUCGUCAGGCAGGGCGCCAGGUAACACCUGGAGGGCGCGAGCCCAUGGAAAGUGCCACAGAAAAUAUACCGCCGGGCGCCGCUGGCGCUGGUAAGGGUGAAAUGGUGCGGUAAGAGCGCACCGCGCGGGUGGUAACACGCCGCGGCAGGGUAAACCCCGCCUGAAGCAAGACCAAAUAGGGGAGCAUGCCGGGCCGAGGCCCGGCGCCGCGCGCCUGAGCGGGCUCCCGGGUAGGUCGCUAGAGACAGCCGGUGACGGCUGUCCCAGAUGAAUGAUUGUCCCCGACAGAACCCGGCUUACGUCCGGCUCUUACC
rnacentral:RNase_P_RNA from 1 species